UACGUAGGGUGCAAGCGUUGUCCGGAAUUAUUGGGCGUAAAGAGCUCGUAGGCGGUUUGUUGCGUCGGCUGUGAAAACCCGGGGCUCAACUCCGGGCCUGCAGCCGAUACGGGCAGACUAGAGUUCGGCAGGGGAGACUGGAAUUCCUGGUGUAGCGGUGAAAUGCGCAGAUAUCAGGAAGAACACCAAUGGCGAAGGCAGCUCUCUGGGACGGUACUGACGCUGAGACGCGAAAGCGUGGGGAGCGAACAGG
rnacentral:rRNA from 1 species